rnacentral:tRNA from 1 species
GGCGAUAUGGUGGAAUUGGUAGACACGUACGACUCAAAAUCGUAUUCUUAACGGAGUGUCAGUUCGAGUCUGACUAUCGCUA